ACGUACCAUUGCUCAGACUGUUAACUGUCCAUACCUUAUGCCUUUUGUCAUAAGGACACUUACUCGUAUGACAAAAGGCAUAAGAAGGACAGUUAAUGGCUCCUCUACACGAUGGGCCAGCGCCGGCCACUCCAAGGGACGCAUCCAUGCGGUAGAAUGAGAUACCAAUAUCACUUGCUCCCUUUAACGCAUAAAUGCGUCCCUUGAAGUGGUCAGCGCUGGCCCAUCGUGUAGAGGAGCUAUUACCCACGUAGCAUCGCCCACACUGCUAACUGUCCAUCGGUGGACCUUAUGCCUUUUGUCAUAAGGACACUUACUCGUAUGACAAAAGGCAUAAGAAGGACACUGCUGCUGCUGUUUGUACUGCUCCAGCGGUAUCUGGGUGGCCCAGACGGACGUAUUCCACCCAGAGGGCCUACCGCAACCACGUUUGAGGUGUUGCCUCUCUGCCCCACUUGUAAAUUCGUACGUAAGUGUGACAGGGAGGCAAUACGUCGAACGUGGUUCGCGGUAGGCUCUCAGGUGCUCCAUCUACGCUCUUCUCACCGCUCGAUCGUCGCCCACCGUUUUAAUCAGAUGUAAAUGAAGGAUGACUCACGCUAGACCGGCCCGUGCCCGGGCCGAGGCGACCGAUAUGUCAUUUUCUAUGACGGCUAAUCGGUGAUCACGUGGCGGUGUGGAGGAAAACGAAGCGCCGGAAGCUCCUGCUUGGCCCAGGCCCGGUCUAGCGUGAGUCUACCUUAUGAGUACCGUACUUUUCCUUCCACUAUUACGCGGGGUGACAGCUGACGUCCACGAGACCCCACGAUAUAUCUCCCUUGACUACGUUAUGAUUUGUCGACUGAGGUGAACUUAAAGAUUGGCUAGGGAAGUAUUUCUGCUGUCAACACAUUGGCAAUUGGAUAACCCCAAAAAAACAACCAUCUUCUUUAUAACGCCGUGGCCUUUAUGUUAUAUUUCAUUUUGUCAAUAAAAUAUUAUGUAUAUCUAUUUGAUGCCAUAUUUGUAUAUAAAAUAAAAAAAACAACAUUAAAUGUUAUUUUUUAGAAAAAAAAUGUUUACACAAUAAUGGUGUUUAUCUAAUUAUCUAUCCAUUCUAUAAUGAUUUAGGCAUAAUAAGUGAAUAAAUAUUACAAGCUAUAAAUGUUUCA